GGUUGCGGCUCCGAACAUGGCGCUGAAAGUGCUCGACACGGCGAUGCAAGUGCACGGGGCGGCGGGUUUAUCGGGCGACACGGUUCUCGCCCACCUUUGGGCAACCGCACGAACGCUGAGAAUUGCAGAUGGUCCCGAUGAAGUCCAUUUGGAAACUAUUGCAAAACUAGAGCUUAGAAGAGCUAAGCUUUGAAAGACUUCCCAUCAUGGGNGCAGAUGGUCCCGAUGAAGUCCAUUUGGAAACUAUUGCAAAACUAGAGCUUAGAAGAGCUAAGCUUUGAAAGACUUCCCAUCAUGGGAUAAUAAUGUUGUACAAUUACUUGUUUUUUUUAGAUUAUGUUGUACAAUUACUUGUUACUUUUUAUAAAUACGA
rnacentral:lncRNA from 1 species